rnacentral:rRNA from 1 species
AACGAACGCUGGCGGCAGGCUUGACACAUGCAAGUCGAACGAGAUCUUCUGAUCGGGAGGCAGACGGGUGAGGAACAGGUGGGAGCAUACCUUUCAGUUCGGAAUAACGUAGGAAACUAACGCUAAUACCGGAUACGUUCUUCGGGAGAAAGAUUUAUUGAUGAAAGAGUCGCCCGCGUCUGAUUAGCUAGUUGGGGAGGUGACGUCUCACGAAGGCUACGAUAAGUAGCUGAUCUGAGAGGAUCAUCAGCAAGAUUGGGACUGAGACACGGGCCAAACUCGUAAGGGAGGCAGCAGUGAGGAAUAUUGGACAAUGGGGGCAAGACUGAUCCAGCCAUGGCGCGUGAGGGAUGACGGCCUUCGGGAUGUAAAGCUCUUUUGUGCGGGAAGAUAAUGACUGUACCGGAAGAAUAAGCCCCGGCAAACUUCGUGCCAGCCGCCGCGGUAA